rnacentral:lncRNA from 14 species
GCAGACACCAGCCAGCUGUUAAGCCAUGGGAAGAACUUGGAGCAUUGAGACAGACCACAGCAGUGUUCCACAGCUGAGCAAAGGUGACAACUUUGAAAAAGACACAAGGCUGGACCUGGAGCUCAGAAGAAUUCCAAGGCUCUCCUGCUUCAGUGGGGCAUGAUGCAGAGUCAACCGGUCGUCAAAG